rnacentral:lncRNA from 1 species
CGCGGUCGCCCCAGCCGCCCGGCAGCCGCCGACCCCCGGCCGGGCCCUGGACUCGCCGCGGUAGUGCCUUCCCAAACAGAGCUGCUGGAAUUACAAUCUUUUGUUGAGCCUCAUGUAACGGAAAAGUCUCCGAUUACUAUCACUUGAAAAGGCUAGCGCGCCCACGGGACGGCCUGGAGAGUGAAGAGCCCCAAGGGUCCCGGGCCCGCGCGGCUCAUUCACUCUCUAGCGUCUGCUGAGGUAACGCGGCCCGCACCUGGGCGCGCGCGACUGCCCCAGUGCGCUGGCGCCAACCACGCGGCGGCGGCCCGGCGAGCCACCGGGAAGAAGUCAGACAAAGUCACUCUCAGGGCGCUGUGCAGCGCCACAGCCAGGGGAGGUGUAAGUUCGGGCUCAGUGAAGAAUCUCGGCUGACUUACGCUGCCAUCAGGGGAUAUGAAGGCGGUGGUUUCCUGGAAUAACACGGGCCUAUGAUAGGAAUUCGACGCAAGGAAGAUUUAUGGGAGCACCGAUUUGCAAGGCAUUGUGGGAAAAAGGUACACAGGCAGACAACAAAUUACACUUUUGGCAUUUCCAGUUUGGAGCCCUACAGCAAUACUCACUGAAGAAGGUUGCACAUAAUAUGAUGGCAGUAGAGCUGGGACGAACGUAGCCACACUCAAUCCUGUGAAGCCAACACUGAAUGAACCAGGCAGAGUGAACACAUGCAAGUAUUAGAAAGGUUUGGACACUGGGGAAGGGUUUAAUAACCCCACGGGGAUAAGAAGUAAGAAAUGGGAAUCCAUUUGGUGUGAUGGGACCAGGGAAGAAUAAGACAGAUCCCUGAUGGCCCAUCUGACCACCUCCAGUUCAGAAGUGGGGAGGAGGUAAAGGAAGGCCAGAGGUAUUCAUUCUUUAUUUCUUCAGUGUUUACUGUUCUGUAUUUACAGUAUUUAAUGUGUGCAAGGCACACUGCCAGGUGUUUUAGAAGAUUCAGAAGUGACCAGGAGUGUUGCUAGCCAAAGGAAAUGGGACAAAUGUGCAAACAGUAAAGUACCAAAAGAAUAUAGUAAGGGCCAGGGGAGGACAGCUCUAAGAAUUCAGAGGACAAGGAGGACACAUCUGCCUUUUGGAGAAAGCUGUCUCAACAAAGAGGAACAGAGCACUAAAGCUAAAUAACCCCCAUGAAGGACCAACCCUCUUCCGGAAAAAAGGCUUAAAUUACACAUCAGUUAAAACGACGACAACAUUCUCCUCCACUUGUGCUCUACAGUGAGGGGCAGAUGAAUGGCCUUUGGCUGUUGCAGCAAAAUAGAGUUCUCCAGGAAAACUGUGGCCAACGUUUGGAAAAAUUAACCAUGAAAUUCUCAAACUUCAACUGCUAACAUGUACUCCAGGCUAAUGAUGACAGAGAAUAACACAGGCAAACUGCAGGCCAACCUUGGGGAGAUAGUUUCUUUAGAGAUGCCCUCUACUGAGUGCCCCUGAUAUCCAAGGAACAUGGAAGGCAGUCCCCAAAUGAAGAGCAAUUGUAUUCCUUUAAUUCAGUCAUAAAUCAACUCUCAAUUCUAUGAGAUUUUUCACAGAAGAACGGAGCGCCUCAAAAGUGGAUCAAGGCAGAAAUGGAUGUGGAAAUUAUCAUCCUGUACCUUUGAGGUAAAGAGGCUUCUACAGCUCUGGCAUGAGCUACCACAGGUCAUAACCAUUAGGAAAGAAACUGGAAUGUUACCAUGCCAGGCUUUGUGAAUAAACUAAAGUUUUGCUGGUGGUGGCACAGGAAAAAAAUGAAGAAACCAAGAGGACUUGAACCAAGUGGGUAUGACUCCAAAGCCCAUGCUUUAAAUGAACAAAUUGGCCUACCCUCUAAGGCAAGAACCCUUUAAUAGUGGUCUAUGUCAGAAAAAUAUCAAAAAGACUCAAGGCUCUUAAAUAAAUAAGGAAAUGAAUGACCUGCAUCAAAGUCUAAUUACGCCUAGGCCAGUUACCCACCCAGCCAGGUCUCCUUGUACAUACACAAUGGGGGUGAUAUUGCCCCCACAAGGAAUGAAAAUUCAUUUUGGGGAUGAGGCAAAAAAUUGUAUUCUUUUUCAUAUUAGCAUAGAUAUAUAAUGUAUCUAUGGCAUGAAAAUUUCAUGGGUGGGCAAUUAGGAGGAAAAAAAGGGUCAC